GCGCAACACAGGACCUGAACAACAGUUCUACAACCCGGUGCGCCGUAAAUAUCGCCUGCACACCAAGAGAACUGAGAAGUGUGCUGGACAUUGGGACACCGGAAAGAACGAUGGCGGGAGGGCGGACACAGCAUGGGCACGGACCUGGCAGCCUACUGCAGGGACACUGCGACAGGUGGAUGAGCUGGCCAAUGGCAGGGAUGGCCGCCUUCGAGUGCUACAAAGCCGAAUGAAAAUUGAAUUCAGCGGUUUACCAAAUUCUCUGGACUCACGUAAGAAAAAAUAAUUAGUGCAAUCAGGACAGUCACGCUAAUAUCCCCCGACCAAAACCAGCUUCCUCUGCUGAACAACACAAUUUUAUAGCAAUUAUUACUGCUCCACUACUGUGAGUGCAGUGAUAACUGCGGUAAAACUCCUGGACAUUGUGGUUCCGAGGCGCAGAAGGAGGUGCCACGUUCCUGGAGCAGGAGAGGAGGAGGUGCCCACUUCUUCAUGACCAGCGGCUCUCCUGUUACCCCCCCACCCCCCUGACGGACGAUGGCAGCAAACUGAGGAUGAGGUGCCUGGGCCUUCGGCGUCAGCUCACACCCACCUUCACCUCGGCUGGUGCGAUUGGUCAGAAAGGGUCGGCGAUGUCCCGUGAUUGGACAGAAAGGGUCGGCGAUGUCCCGAAAACAUACGAACACACAAACGGAGCCGUAGCCGUGGAGCUCGCGGCGUCUCUCCGCUAUAAAUAGGCCGUCGGAUACGAGCGCGCUGAAAUACCCCUCACACGGGUGGGGAUUAGAGCGGCGGAGAAGAUGCCAUUCACCCCCUACAAGCCCUUAAUUACACUUCAAAGCACUGCUGCACUACUGCCAGUUUUGCAAUAGGAUAAAAAUUUAGAUCCUGAUUCAGUCACAUCCACUUCCUCAUACGGCCUAGCAAGAGCUGGAGAGACAAACCUCACACACAACACACACACGCUCAUGCAGACAUGCACACACACACACACACACACACACACACACAGACAGUUUCUUUCUGAAGGCCACACCCAAACGGAUAUUCUAAGGUCCUGAGGGAAUAUUUUCAGACUGGCGAAAAGUGAUAAAUAAAUAAAUAAAUAACGGAACCCUCCCUGCUCAGUGUCACUCUAGCGUCUCCUAGUGACGAGGUUGCAGAAGUACAGGAACAGUGUGGGAGACAGAGCAGGACACUGCGUUCGGCACCUCAGCAGUGUUACAAUAAACACAGCCAGGACUCCCCGGGCCCUCCCACACCCUGGCCCCUCCCAUAGCCCAGCCCUUC